GACGAACGCUGGCGGCGUGCCUAAUACAUGCAAGUCGAGCGGACCUUUGGGAGCUUGCUCCCAAAGGUUAGCGGCGGACGGGUGAGUAACACGUGGAUAACCUGCCGGUAAGACUGGGAUAACUCCGGGAAACCGGGGCUAAUACCGGAUAUGAUUUCAGUUCGCAUGAACUGAAAUGGAAAGGUGGCUUUUAGCUACCACUUACAGAUGGAUCCGCGGCGCAUUAGCUAGUUGGUGAGGUAACGGCUCACCAAGGCGACGAUGCGUAGCCGACCUGAGAGGGUGAUCGGCCACACUGGGACUGAGACACGGCCCAGACUCCUACGGGAGGCAGCAUG
rnacentral:rRNA from 1 species